UGGGGAAUAUUGCACAAUGGGGGAAACCCGUAGAUGCAGCAACGCCGCGUGAGUGAAGAAGUAUUUCGGUAUGUAAAGCUCUAUCAGCAGGGAAGAAAUAGACGGUACCUGACUAAGAAGCACCGGCUAAAUACGUGCCAGCAGCCGCGGUAAUACGUAUGGUGCAAGCGUUAUCCGGAUUUACUGGGUGUAAAGGGCGCGUAGGCGGGAUGGCAAGUCAGAUGUGAAAUCCAUGGGCUCAACCCGUGAACUGCAUUUGAAACUGUCGUUCUUGAGUGUCGGAGAGGCAAGCGGAAUUCCUAGUGUAGCGGUGAAAUGCGUAGAUAUUAGGAGGAACACCAGUGGCGAAGGCGGCUUGCUGGACGAUAACUGACGCUGAGGCGCGAAAGCGUGGGGAGCAAACAGGAUUAGAUACCCUGGUAGU
rnacentral:rRNA from 1 species